rnacentral:rRNA from 1 species
GAUGAACGCUGGCGGCGUGCCUAAUACAUGCAAGUCGAGCGGAAAGGCCCCUUCGGGGGUACUCGAGCGGCGGACGGCUGAGUAACACGUAGGAACGUACCCCAAAGUGAGGGAUAAGCACCAGAAAUGGUGUCUAAUACCGCAUGUGCUCUAAGGAGUAAAGCUUCGGCGCUUUGGGAACGGCCUGCGCAUGAUUAGCUUGUUGGUGAGGUAAAAGCUCACCAAGGCGAUGAUCAUUAGCUGGUCUGAGAGGAUGACCAGCCAGACUGGGACUGAGAACGGCCCAGACUCCUACGGGAGGCAGAAGUAGGGAAUUUUCCACAAUGGGCGAGAGCCUGAUGGAGCAACGCCGCGUGAGUGAAGAAGGUUUUCGGAUCGUAAAACUCUGUUGUUAGAGAAGAACAAGGAUGAGAGUAAAAUGUUCAUCCCUUGACGGUAUCUAACCAGAAAGCCACGGC